rnacentral:tRNA from 1 species
GAGGGUAGAGCUCAGUGAUAGAGUGUGUGCUUAGCAUGCACAAGGUCCUGGGUUCAACCCCUAGUACCUCCA